rnacentral:rRNA from 1 species
UACGUAGGGGGCAAGCGUUGUCCGGAAUCAUUGGGCGUAAAGAGCGCGUAGGCGGCCCGAUAAGUCCGCUGUGAAAGUCAAGGGCUCAACCCUUGAAUGCCGGUGGAAACUGUCGGGCUAGAGUCCGGAAGAGGCGAGUGGAAUUCCUGGUGUAGCGGUGAAAUGCGCAGAUAUCAGGAGGAACACCGAUGGCGAAGGCAGCUCGCUGGGACGGUACUGACGCUGAGGCGCGAAAGCGUGGGGAGCAAACAGG